GCUGGGCGCACCCGUCCCGUUCGUCCCCGGACGUUGCUCUCUACCCCGGGAACGUCGAGACUGGAGCGCCCGAACUGAGCCACCUUCGCGGACCCCGAGAGCGGCGGCGCGACUCACCGCGGAGGCGCCCGGACGCGUCAAGCCCAGCCCAAUAGGAAGCACCUGAUCCACACUCUUUCUAGCCCCAGGGAUGCUCAGGAAAGCAGCCUUUCUUUAGGGCUGUCAUCUGUUCUGGGGAUCUGUUGCUGUUUCUUGGGCCCACAGAAUACACUCCACACCUCGGGACUCCAUAAUAUUGGACAAGGCUGGAAGGCCCAUUUGGCUCCUGCAGCCUCUUAUGCAGGAGGACCUCCUGAGGCUUCGGGCAGGAGCUGGUGCACACCUGGAGGAGAGUGCUGGUGAAUGGCAGGUGUGUGCCUCAGUGUCCUUGCUGCCAGGGUGUCAGCCCUGCUUCACCACUGGCCGUUUGUCUCUGUCCCCUCCACUGGCCUCUUGAAGCACAGAGACCCUCCGGUCAUCCUCUUCAGCGGUCCUCCCAGAGCUGUCCUCAGCAUGGCAGCCUCCACAGCCCCUGGGUGUCACCCCCGGUUUCGUGUCUGCCUCGGACUCCAGACCUGCCCCUCCCAGGCUGGCCCAGAUGGAUCCUCUACAGUGACUAACCCAAACCAGCACCAGGCAGGGACCCAAUAAACCUUUGUGAA
rnacentral:lncRNA from 1 species